CCGUCGGGGCGGGCUUGCAGAAGCGGCGGGCCGGAGCUGGAGGGAAGCGGGGAGAGCGCGUCCACCAGCGUCCCUUCCCCCCUCGAUGGGAGCGGGGGCGUCCUGGCCGUCGCCGCCUGAGGAGAGCCGGGGGCCGUCACUUCGGAGUUGGGGCUGAGCAGCCCGCGGACAGCGUGCGAAGACCGCUGCAGCCGCUGGCCGCGUGAAACCCAUCCACCGUAAUGGCCGCGGCCUUACCUAGGACCCUGGGGGAGUUGCAGCUAUACAGAAUAUUACAAAAGGCCAAUCUACUCUCUUAUUUUGAUGCCUUUAUCCAACAAGGCGGUGAUGAUGUCCAGCAACUCUGUGAAGCCGGAGAAGAGGAAUUUUUGGAAAUCAUGGCACUUGUGGGGAUGGCUAGCAAGCCCCUUCAUGUUAGAAGGCUACAAAAGGCUUUGAGAGACUGGGUUACAAACCCUGGCCUUUUUAAUCAGCCACUGACUACCCUUCCUGUCAGUAGCAUACCCAUCUAUAAGUUACCAGAAGGAUCACCGACAUGGCUGGGAAUAUCCUGCAGUAGUUACGAAAGGAAUAGCAAUGCCCGGGAACCUCAUUUAAAAAUCCCCAAAUGUGCUGCCACCACCUGUGUGCAGAGCUUGGGACAGGGGAAGUCAGAUGUGGUGGGGAGCUUAGCACUGCAGAGUGUUGGUGACUCUAGACUCUGGCAAGGCCACCAUGCCACUGAAAGCGAGCACAGUCUGUCCCCAGCAGACCUCGGCUCCCCGGCUUCUCCUAAAGAAAGCAGUGAGGCACUGGAUGCUGCGGCCGCACUCUCUGUAGCCGAGUGUGUGGAGCGGAUGGCCCCCACACUGCCAAAAAGUGACUUGAAUGAAGUGAAAGAGCUGCUAAAAACCAACAAAAAGUUGGCCAAAAUGAUUGGUCACAUCUUUGAGAUGAGCGAUGAUGAUCCACGCAAAGAGGAGGAAAUUCGAAAAUACAGUGCAAUAUAUGGCAGAUUUGAUUCAAAGAGAAAGGAUGGAAAACAUCUCACACUUCAUGAGCACCAAGGUUCAAGACAGCUCACUGUUAAUGAAGCAGCUGCCCAGCUUUGUGCGAAGGAUAAUGCCCUGUUGACCAGAAGAGAUGAACUUUUUGCCCUGGCUAGACAGAUUUCUCGAGAAGUCACCUAUAAAUAUACUUACAGAACCACCAAGUCAAAAUGUGGAGAAAGAGAUGAAUUAUCCCCAAAGAGAAUUAAAGUGGAGGAUGGUUUUCCAGAAUUCCAGGAUUCUGUGCAGACACUCUUCCAGCAGGCUAAAGCUAAGAGUGAAGAACUUGCAGCUCUUAGUUCACAGCAGCCUGAAAAGGUGAUGGCAAAGCAGAUGGAGUUCCUUUGCACCCAAGCUGGCUAUGAGAGACUGCAGCAUGCUGAAAGAAGACUGUCUGCAGGGUUUUACAGGCAAAGCUCAGAAGAGCACAGCCCUAAUGGCUUGACAUCUGAUAAUUCUGACGGACAAGGAGAAAGACCUUUGAAUCUCCGAAUGCCUAAUAUACAGAACAGACAACCCCAUCAUUUUGUGGUGGAUGGGGAGCUUACUAGACUUUACGCCAGUGAGGCAAAGUCCCAUUCAUCAGAGAACCUUGGAAUUUUAAAAGACUACCCUCACUCAGCUUUUACCUUAGAAAAGAAAGUCAUCAAAACAGAGCCUGAAGAUUCAAGAUAGCUGUGGAAAUGGCAUCAGAUUUAAGGAUAAUGCACCAUCAUAGAAAUAAGCCUUAAUAACCAACGUUGCCUCAUUCAGCUCAAAGAGAUUUCAUAGCCAAAGCUUAAGGACUGGUACAGCAAUCUCUGGAAACCAGCAGGACAGACAACAGCCACAAAAGAGAACAUUGAGACGGUUGCAAUCUGUAACAGAAAUAUUGAUCUAUUCACAUUCCUAUGCACAUCUAAGGACAAGCUGACCACAAGAUUACGGAAAUAUUCAAAACAUCUGUGAUCUUCAGCAGCACUGUUUGGAACAAAUGCAAAGAAUAAGACAAAGGAUUACAAACUGCCCACUACCCAGACCUUUCUCAGUCCUGCUCUGUGCUUCAGGAGGCCAGUUCCUCCAAAGCACCUUGGAUAAAUUGACUAAAGCAUCUAGAACUUAAAUUGAGGGUACAUUUGCAGGCAGGUGAGUGCAUUAGUUAUCUGUUGCUGCUUAACAAAUUAUCCUAAAAUUUAGCAGCUGAAAACAACAUUUUUUAUCUUGGUUUCUGUGGACCCAGGGAUCCAGGAAUAGCUUAGUGGGUGGUUUGGGCUCAGGGUCCCUCACAAGGCUGCAAUCACAAUGUCAGUGGCUGGGACUGCAGUCACCUCAAGGAUCAACUAGAGGUGACUGCACUUCCAAGCUCACUGGUGGGCUUUUCCACAAGGACGCCACCCAGCAUGACAGCUGGCUUCUCCCAGAGCAAACCAUCCAAGAGAAAGAGAAUACCCAAGACAAAAGCCAUAGUCUGUGUAACUUCAUAUCAGAAGUUAUAUCCCAUCACUUUUGCUGUAUUCUGUCCAUUAAAAACAAGUCCAGCCCACAUUCAAGGAAAAGGGAUUACAUAAGGGUAUGAAUACCAAGAAGUGGGUAUCGUUGUGUACCAUCUUGAAGGCUACCUUUCACAGUGAGAAAGACAAUGAGCUCUGUUUGGGACAUACUGAGCUUGAGAGGCCUUCAGUUUUAGCUAGUAGAGAUACUUAGGGUUUACUGGGAAACAAAUGUCUGGAGAUCGGGAAAGCAUGAAGUUUAGGUCCAGACUGGGGUCAUAGAUUUGGGAGGCAUCAGUGCCUCAUAAAUGGUAUUUGAAGCCAUAGGAGUGGAUGAGAGAGCAUAAAAAGAAAACAGAAGGUGGGUCUAGGGUAAAACACUGGGAAAUAUUAACUUUUAGGGGGGCAGGGAGAAUGACAGGAGUCACCAAAGAUAUUAGGAAAGAGACAUCAAAUAGAAACAUUCUGGAAACCAAGGGUUGCAUUCCACAGAGAAGGGGUAGUUGUCAUUGGGUGCCAUCAAGUCAAUUCCAACUCAUGGUGACCGUAUGUGACACAGUAGAACUGCCCCAUAGGGUUUUCUUGACUGUAAUCUUUAUAGAAGCAGAUUACCAGGCCUUUAUUUCACAGAGCUGCUGGGUGGGUUUGAACCAUUAACCUUUUCUGGUUAGCAGCCGAGUGCUUAAUCAUUGCACCAUCAGAGUUCCUUGGGGGUUGUUAGUGAGGUCACAUUAGAUAAGAGGUCCAGUAGAAUGUGAACAGUUGAAUUCAGUUAUUAAGGAGAUCAUUGUUUACCUUUAAGAGAGUGCUACCUAACAGGAUAAUUGGAAAUAGUAAUUGUUACAAUUGCUAUAAUGCAAUUUGCAAAAGUAAAACACAACAUCUUGGAAAAAGUAAGCGGAGUAUGAGAAUUAGUAAUGGACUUGAUGUAAGGCAUCUCUUACUCAAAUCUAAGGGUCGAAUGUUCGUUGAUAACUACCACAUUCUUCCUCCUGUCACAGAUUAGACAGAUUUACUUAAAGCUGUGAUACAUCCAAGUUGACAAUGACAAUGCAAGCUGGAAUUCAGAGCACCUAGAACCCUUAAAAGGGUCCCUUGGCGGUGUAAAUAAUGUGCACUCAACCACUAAUCGAAAGGUUGGCAGUUUGAACUCACUCAACAGCUCCAUGGAAGAAAGGCCUGGAAGUCUGCUUCUAUAAAGACUACCCAACACCCAGUGCCGUCGAUACCCAACAAUAUGAUAUAAAGACUAUAGCCAAGAAAAUUCUAUGGAGCAGUUCUACUUUAACACGUGGGGUUGCCAUGAGUCAGAAUCGACUCUUCAGCAACAGGUUUGGUUCGGUUCGGUUCGGUUCGGAACGGAACCCUUAAGCUCCUCAUCUCAGCCCCUGUCCCAGUCUGCAUCUCAAAAGGCUCAAGAACAAGAAUCCCACAGAACAACUAAUUGGACAACACCCAAAGCUUACAGCAGAGCGGAUUUGUGUAGGAUAAAAGUUUUUCUCCCCUAUAUGUUUCAGUAAAAAGGUCUUUUAACUGCAAAAUAGUAAUAAUUCUUGGCCCAUGAUGCCAGGCCACCCUCAUAGUCAUCUGGCUGUUUAUAAUAACCUUGUGUUUCUUUGUUUUAAAACACUCUUAUUUAUUCUAUCACUGCUUAGCUGCAAUUGUUGUGGCUUCAAAAAUAGUACAAAUCAAGGAAUGAACAGCAUUUUUAGAAUAGUAAAAAUUCACUGAUGAAUAUGUUUUUAAAGCUUUGAAAUAUGUUUUAACCUCCAAAAUGUACUUGAAUCUCUCAUGCUAGGGCAGCUUUGAAUUACGAUGAAACACUAAAAUAGCUGUUAUUCAGCCAAAACGUAUUCCCCCGAUCUCACAGAAGUGAUGAAUUUUGAUGGACUUUAAUUCCUGAAUGCAAACUUGUUACAUCUGCUCUUCUGCCACCGAAGAGAAUAAAGAUAUGCAUGACUGCACCUAAAAAGGACUAUGUACCUAGCCAUAUCCUGGCAGUUUAGGAGGAUAGCAUCCGCCCAAAGUCAAGGAACAUGGGGAUUUAGGAGUAUAAAGCUAUACAAAUUAAAAUUUUAGUAGCGUACAAUUCAUUACUCUUAAGCUAUAGUAUAAGGUAAUUUACCUUUUACAAAGACUUCUGAAUUAAGAAAAUUAGACCAACAUACUUCAUAAUUUGCUGUUUUUAACUUAAUAAAACUAGCUUUAAAAAUUCACUUCAUUCUCUUAAAAUCUCUCACAAGAUGUACAUUUUACGUUUGACUGCCCAUUAAACAAAACAAAGUCUGUUGCCAUCGAGUUGAUCCUGACUCAUAGCGAUCCUACAGGACAGCAACCAUAGGGUUUCCAAGGAGCAGCUGGUGGAUUUGAACUGCUGACCUUUUGGUUAGCAGCUGAGCUCUUAACUACUGUGCCCUAAAAUAGUUCCAACCUUUAAUUAGGUGCAGAUACUUUCAUAUAUGAAUCCACGAGCACCCCCAAGAAUCCAUGAGGCUAACUUUAUAAAUGUUUAUAUAACAUACUGCUAAUAUUUAUUGAAGAAAAAAAUCCUGAGAGUCUGCAACCUUUUCCUUGCCAUUAAAGAACAUGCUUUGCUUGUUACAACCCUACUUAAGAAGUAAAGGGGCUUUUAUUCAAGCACUCAGGAGCCACUACCGUGCAGCAAAAAGAACAUUGGGUAAAAUUCGGAACACCUGGAUUCCAGUCCUUGCCUUUGACAUCGUCUUUACGUGCAACUUAUCAAGUCACAUCUUUGCUGUGCCUCAAUAUCCUCAUAUGUCAAAGGGCUUUCACUGGUUGUUAACUCUUCAGAUCAUGUGCCCUUUUAAUAAUCUGAUCAGGCAUAGUGAUCCUCUAUUCAGAACGAUGGGUCAACUUUUGCACAAUUUCAGUGAGUUCAUAGCCUCACUCAAUAUAUAACGGCCCUUAGGUUGAGAAGCCCUAACCUAGUUGACCCAUCUUUAAUUGUCUAGGUAAGCCACACCCAAGCUAUCUAUAUCUAUUUCAGACAAAAAUGACAUUCUACUUUAAAUCAGAUUUUUCUUUGAAGGAUUCAACUCAAAUCCUAAAGAUGGCUGAACUUUCCAGCACAGUACUGAGCACAAGGUCAUUCCACAAGCAGUUGGAAUUUGAUGGUAUCAAUACUCUUUAAAAUCAAAACCCCUGAAUCUGUUAUUUCACAUCUUAAACAUGGAUAGCUCUUUGGCCCUCACAUCUAGGUCUACAACUAAAAUAUAAUGCCACUUUGUAAACACAUUCCUAAAUCUCCAUUCACAUUGAAAGAUAAACUCAAAUAAAAUACCCUGCUCUUCUGAAAAGACACAUGGAAAGAGAAGAAAUAAGCUUAGAUUGUUUUUCUUUGACAUUAUGUGUUUUGAGAGUGAGGUAAAUGGGUAACAGGAUAUGUCCACACAUAACGAGUGACCCAUAUACUGAACUAUAGGAGGGAAUGUUUGGUUGACUACAGUGUACCACAUUCAAAUUAAGCACAAGGGAAGUUUUUUGGAAGACUACAAGGAUAUCUCAAGAAGCCCGGGGCAGGAGGUACUGCACAGCCUCAGGAGGAACUGGAGUUCAAGGAGCUGGGAGAUUCAGAAAUGAAGUUUCUUCUGACCACCUCUCUCUGUGAGGCUAAAUGGCUCCUUAUUUCUGCUUUCCUUUGCACAUCUGCUUCAUUCCCUGUCAGACUAGCAGCCUCUGCUUCAGGGUGCUCAUGGUUGCCCAGCUCACCCCAACACUGACUUGCUGUCAAGACCCCAACCUGGACUGACUGGAGUCUAGAAAGCCCAAUCUCAGUCCCCUCCAGGGAGAGUUUGAUUGUUACAGUCUAAGACAUAUUUCACUUCAUCAAAAUUAAAAACUUUGGUUCAUCAAAGGACUUAACCAAAUCUGAAAUGUAAAGGAACCAGGAGAGGGACCUCCUUGUUCAGGUGGUUCUCAUGCUGGCUUUUAUUUUUUCUAGCAAAGUCAUCUGAAACUUGGUGCUACUUCUGGGGAUAGAGACCCAAUCCUCAUAGUGUGUAGCACUUAGCUACUUUAAUAUGUGAGAAAUAUUAAAUGAAGCCAUAUUUAUAAAAUCUGGACUCUUAUUAAUAAUAAACUUAUAAUGACUCUAAAAAAAAAAAAAAAAAGACUUUACCAACAUAGUGAAGAGACAACCUACAGAUUGGGAGAAAAUUGGGGAGAACUAUGUAACUGAUAAGGGUUUAAUAUCCACAAUAUAAAAAGAACUGAUAUAACUUAACAAUAAAAAGAUAAACAACCCAAUUAAAAAAAUGGGGAAAGGGCUUAAAAAAGCAUUUCACAAAGGAACAAAUAUAAUUUUUUUUUUUGGUUUGUUUCCAACAAGCAUUCAAUGUCAUUAGUCAUCAGGAAAAUGCAAAUAAAAACCACUAUGAGAUAUCACUUCACCCCCACUAAGAUGGCUAUGAUAGAAAACAGAACAGGUAUUGGUGAGGAUGUGGAGAAAUUGGAACCCUCAUCCACUGCUGAUGGAACUGUGAAACGGCACAGCUGCUGUGGAAAACAAUUUGAAGAUUCUUUAAAAAGUUAAAGAAGUACCAUGCAAUUCAGCAAUUCCUCUCCUAGGUGUAUACUCAAAAGAAUUUAAAUCAAGAACACAAACAGAUACAUGUACACCAAUGUUUAUUGCAGCACUACUCACAAUAGCCAAAAGAUGGAAACAAUCUAAAUGUCCAUCAACAGAUGAAUGGAUACAAAACAUGUGGUACCUACAUACUACGGUGUGUUACUUGGCCAUAAAAAGAGAAGAAGCCCUGAUACAUGCUACAACAUGCACGAAUCUUGAAAACAUUUUGCUAAGUGAAAUAAGCCAGUCACAAAAGGAUGAAUAUUGUAUGAUCCCACUUAUAUGAAAAUCUAGAAUAGGCAAAUGCAUAGAGACAGAAGUUUAUCGGUGGUUGUUACCAGGGCUAGAAGGGAGGAGGAAAACUUGAGUCAUUGCUUAGGGGACAUUGAGCUCUGUUAAAGGUGAUGGAAAAAGCUGGAAACAGUGGUAAUGGCUGCACAAUAUGUAUGAAGGUAAUUACUGUCACUGAAUUGCAUCUGUAAAAACAGUUGAAAUGGCAAAUUUUUUUUUUUGUAUGCGUGUGUUGUGUAUUUUUGUAUGUGUGUUUUGUGUGUAUGGAUAGUUAUCAUUGUGGUUAGUUGCUGUCACGUCAGCUUCAACUCAUGGUGACCUAGUGUAGAACAGAACGAAACGCUGCCUGAUUCUGUACCAUCUUCCUUAUCGUCGCUAUGUUUGAGUCCAUUGUUUCAGUCACUAUGUCAGUCCAUCUCACUGAGGGCCUCCCUUGCCUUCACUGAUCCUGUACCAGUCAUGAUGUCCUUUUCUAGCAAUUGACCUUUCUUGAUAUCAUGUCUAAAGUAAGUGAGCCUAUGUCUCAUCCUUAUUUCUAAAGAGCAUUCUGGUUGUAUUUCUUCUAAGACUGAUUUGUUCGUUCCUCUGGCAGUCCACAGUAUAUUCAAUAUUCUUUGCCAACACUACGAUUCGAAUGUAUCAGUUCUUAUGUCUUCCUUUUUCACUGACCAGCUUUUACACACAAACAUACACACACACAUAUUUACCACAAUUGGGAAAAAAAAAAAAAGCCAUGUUCCAAUGAGCUGU